rnacentral:rRNA from 1 species
GACGAACGCUGGCGGCGUGCUUAACACAUGCAAGUCGAACGGAAAGGCCCUGCUUUUGUGGGGUGCUCGAGUGGCGAACGGGUGAGUAACACGUGAGUAACCUGCCCUUGACUUUGGGAUAACUUCAGGAAACUGGGGCUAAUACCGGAUAGGAGCUCCUGCUGCAUGGUGGGGGUUGGAAAGUUUCGGCGGUUGGGGAUGGACUCGCGGCUUAUCAGCUUGUUGGUGGGGUAGUGGCUUACCCAGGCUUUGACCGGUAGCCGGCCUGAGAGGGUGACCGGCCACAAUGGGACUGAGAUACGGCCCAGACGCCUACGGGGGGCAGCAGUGGGGAAUAUUGCACAAUGGGCGGAAGCCUGAUGCAGCAACGCCGCGUGCGGGAUGACGGCCUUCGGGGUGUAAACCGCUUUCGCCUGUGACGAAGCGUGGGUGACGGUAAUGGGUAAAGAAGCACCGGCUAACUACGUG